rnacentral:lncRNA from 1 species
CCAAGACGUUGUUUCAACUUCAAGCUUAACUCAGACUUCAAUGAAACCUCCACCUCCGAAAUUUCUAAGCAAUUCGGACUCAAAUUCGUCGCAAGAGAAGUCCCAAUCGGACACCCCUGUUAUUCCUCAAAGCUCUACAGAACCUUCUGGAAGUGGCGACCACUCCAGCUCGAGCUCUGUUUCCUCCCAAAGUAGUAAAGACAUCAAGGAAGACCAGAAGCAAGAUCAACGAUCUGGUGCUGCUGCAGUUCCCGAGCUCUACGGAACCUUCUGGAAGUGGCGAUGACUCCAGCUCGAGCUCUGUUUCCUCCCAAAGUAGUAAAGACAUCAAGGAAAACCAGAAGCAAGAGCAACGAUCCGGUGCUGCUGCAGUUCCCUACACCAUUCCUACGUGGAGUGGGCGUCCCUGUCACCAG